GCAAGACUUACCCCCUCGUUUUCUAUAAAUAUGGGGUCUCUCCUGUUGAUUUCAUUAUCCAAUUCCAGAGUAAAAUUCUCAGAGAAAAACGUAGAGAGAGAGAGAGAGUCCCGGCCAAGAGAUCGGCCGGAAAAGGGCCGGUCGUGGUGGUUUUGUGUCUCCGGCAAGGAGAAUGGUUUAGGAGAGAGGAGGCCGUGUGGUUA
rnacentral:lncRNA from 1 species